rnacentral:rRNA from 1 species
GACGAACGCUUGCGGCGUGCCUAAGAAAUGCAAGUCGAGCGAGGUUUAGGCUUCGGCCGACGACCUAGCGGCGAACGGUCGCGUAACACGUAAGCAACCUGCCCUAAAGUUGGGGAUAGCCCGCCGAAAGGCGGAUUAAUACCGAAUGUGGAUAUGUAUUCGCAUGUAUAUAUAUCUGAAGCAGCGAUGCGCUUUAGGAUGGGCUUGCGGCCUAUCAGUUAGUUGGUGUGGGUAACGGCCUACCAAGACGACGACGGGUAGCUGGUCUGAGAGGAUGGUCAGCCGGAUUGGGACUGAGACACGGCCCAGACUCCUACGGGGGGCAGCAAUUAGGAAUCUUGCGCAAUGGGCGAAAGCCUGACGCAGCGACGCCGCGUGACUGAUGAAGUCUUUCGAGAUGUAAAGGUCUUUUGUUGGGGACGAAGGAAGUGACGGUACCCGACGAAUAAGCCCCGGCUAACUACGUG